rnacentral:tRNA from 1 species
UCCCGUAGUGUAGCCCGGCCAAUCAUUUCGGCCUCUCGAGCCGAAGACCCGGGUUCAAAUCCCGGCGGGAGCA